CAGGAAGUAUCAGCAUGGCAUUAGGUUGUUGUGAGAGAUUCAGCUCUUCUGCAGUGCCUUGUCAAACGACCUGACUGGUCAACUGGGAAAAUGAAGUUCUCAGGGCCAACAUCGUAUUUGGGUGUUUUUCUUUUAGGUCUGUAUCAAAGCCAGAUUUAAGAAGGAGGGUGUCUACAAAUGAACGAAAGCAGAGGAUGUCUGGGGACAAGCUAAGGACAUUUGUGUCCCACACUGCAUGUAUUCUGAAUCCAGAGAAAAGAGACAAACUUCUUGGGAGAAAGGAUCAUGCCUGAAGCAUCUUUGCAUCUCCCCUAACAUCUGUUUGCUAAGUGUUGAAUAAAAUAAAAGCUUGAAAGAAUGAAUCUGACUGUCAGUUGAGACAUCUGAUAAUCUAAAAGCAUUCAGAGAAUUAGGAUCCCAUAUGGCUCGAAAAUAUUUCCUAUCCGGCAGGAAAAAGAGAACAUACCAUGAAAAUAAUACUGAACAUUAAAUAGUAAACAAAAAACACCAUGACAAGUCUAAAGAGAGACCACAAAAGGAAGGAAAAAGGUCUCAAGUUUUGAUCAUCCUAUGAGCCCAUAUAUCCUUCAGAGCAAGACAAUGUGAAUAGGCAUCGUUGCACUUGGUAGAGGGUUAGGCAAAUAGUGGAUGCCAAAUAAAUCCUUGUGGAAUUGAAUGGUAUUACCUGGAGUUCCCUGAAGGUUGUACAUCCUCUUACUCCUUGGCCUUUGGAACGUCCUUCUCUAUACCUGGAAUUCUUCCUCUCUCUCUUUACCUCCUCUGACUACUGUCUCUUUACCUCACUUUGACCUUCCUAGUUCUGUUUAUCACUUCCUCUAAGAGUUGUUGCUUGAUGCCCCUGCACUGGGUUAGCAGAUUUUGCUAAGUGGUCCACAGAAUCACCUACUUAUGUGUUUCUCUGCCAGCUCUAUAAAGACAGACCAGACUACCUUGCGGUAAUUUGUUCAGUAUUUUAUCCCCAGGUUGAGCACAGCACCUGGCAUACAGUAGACAUUCAGUAAAUAUUUGUUAAAUGAA
ensembl:lncRNA novel transcript, antisense & intronic to ANKS1B